rnacentral:rRNA from 1 species
CGAGGCUGUGAAGCGGAGCAAAUCUCAAAAACCGGUCCCAGUUCGGAUUGUAGGCUGCAACUCGCCUACAUGAAGUCGAAGUUGCUAGUAAUCGCGGAUCAGAAUGCCGCGGUGAAUGCGUUCCCGGGUCUUGUACACACCGCCCGUCACACCAUGGAAGUUGGGGGCGCCCGAAGUUGCCUAAGAAAUAAGGUACCUAAGGCGAAACCAAUGACUGGGGUGAAGUCGUAACAAGGUAGC